rnacentral:rRNA from 1 species
AGAGUUUGAUCAUGGCUCAGAUUGAACGCUGGCGGCAGGCCUAACACAUGCAAGUCGAACGGAACCUUCGGGUUUAGUGGCGAACGGGUGAGUAAUGCCUAGGAAUCUGCCUAUUAGUGGGGGAUAACGAAUCGAAAGGUUCGCUAAUACCGCAUACGUCCUACGGGAGAAAGAGGGGGAUCUUCGGACCUCUUGCUAAUAGAUGAGCCUAGGCCGGAUUAGCUAGUUGGUAGGGUAAAGGCCCACCAAGGCGACGAUCUGUAGCUGGUCUGAGAGGAUGACCAGCCACACUGGAACUGAGACACGGUCCAGACUCCUACGGGAGGCAGCAGUGGGGAAUAUUGGACAAUGGGCGCAAGCCUGAUCCAGCCAUGCCGCGUGUGUGAAGAAGGCCCUCGGGUUGUAAAGCACUUUAAGCGAGGAGGAAGGUCAUCAUACUAAUAUUAUGAUGAAUUGACGUUACUCGCAGAAUAAGCACCGGCUAACUCUGUGCCAGCAGCCGCGGUAAUACAGAGGGUGCAAGCGUUAAUCGGAAUUACUGGGCGUAAAGCGCGCGUAGGCGGUUUGUUAAGUCGGAUGUGAAAUCCCUGGGCUCAACCUAGGCACUGCAUCCGAUACUGGCUGACUAGAGUGUGGGAGAGGAAGGUAGAAUUCCAGGUGUAGCGGUGAAAUGCGUAGAGAUCUGGAGGAAUACCGAUGGCGAAGGCAGCCUUCUGGCCUAACACUGACGCUGAGGUGCGAAAGCAUGGGGAGCAAACAGGAUUAGAUACCCUGGUAGUCCAUGCUGUAAACGAUGUCAACUAGCCGUUGGGGUCUUUAAGACUUUAGUGGCGUAGCUAACGCGAUAAGUUGACCGCCUGGGGAGUACGGUCGCAAGACUAAAACUCAAAUGAAUUGACGGGGGCCCGCACAAGCGGUGGAGCAUGUGGUUUAAUUCGAUGCAACGCGAAGAACCUUACCUGGCCUUGACAUGUCUGGAAUCUUGUAGAGAUACGAGAGUGCCUUCGGGAAUCAGAACACAGGUGCUGCAUGGCUGUCGUCAGCUCGUGUCGUGAGAUGUUGGGUU